GCUUGUCUCAAAGAUUAAGCCAUGCAUGUCUUAGUGUAAAUAACUCUUAUGAAACUGCGAAUGGCUCAUUAAAUCAGUUAUCGUUUAUUUGAUGGUCCCUUACUACAUGGAUAACCGUAGUAAUUCUAGAGCUAAUACAUGCGUCAGCACCCAACUUUACGGAAGGGUCGUGUUUAUUAGAUACAAAACCAACAUCUCGUUGGUGACUCAUAAUAACCAAGCGAAUCGUCGGUUUACCGACGAUAGAUCGUUCAAGUUUCUGACCUAUCAGCUUUCGACGGUAGUGUAUUGGACUACCGUGGCUAUGACGGGUAACGGAGAAUUAGGGUUCGAUUCCGGAGAGGGAGCCUGAGAAACGGCUACCACAUCUAAGGAAGGCAGCAGG
rnacentral:rRNA from 1 species